ensembl:lncRNA
GGGAUGGUAGAGUAGGGGGUAGGGAUGGUAGAGUAGGGGGUAGGGAUGGUAGAGUAGGGGGUAGGCAUGGUAGAGUAGGGGUAGGGAUGGUAGAGUAGGGGGCAGGGAUGGUAAAGUAGGGGCCAGGGAUGGUAAAGUAGGGGGCAGGGAUGGUAGAGUAGGGGGUAGGGAUGGUAGAGUAGGGGGAAGGGAUGGUAAAGUAGGGGCCAGGGAUGGUAGAGUAGGGGGUAGGGAUGGUAGAGUAGUGGGUAGGGAUGGUAGAGUAGUGGGUAGGGACGGUAGAGUAGUAGGUAGGGAUGGUAGAGUAGUGGGUAGGGAUGUUAAAGUAGUGGGUAG